rnacentral:rRNA from 1 species
CCUACGGGUGGCUGCAGUGGGGAAUAUUGCGCAAUGGGCGAAAGCCUGACGCAGCGACGCCGCGUGAGGGAUGAAGGUCUUCGGCUCGUAAACCUCUGUCAGCAGGGAAGAACGGUCACUGUGCUAAUCAGCAGUGAAUUGACGGUACCUGCAAAGGAAGCACCGGCUAACUCCGUGCCAGCAGCCGCGGUAAUACGGAGGGUGCGAGCGUUAAUCGGAAUUACUGGGCGUAAAGCGCUCGUAGGCGGUAUGUCAAGUCAAGGGUGAAAUCCCCGCGCUCAACGUGGGAACUGCCUUUGAAACUGGCAAACUUGAGUGGGUGAGAGGAUAGUGGAAUUCCAGGUGUAGGAGUGAAAUGCGUAGAUAUCUGGAGGAACAUCAGUGGCGAAGGCGACUAUCUGGCACAUAACUGACGCUGAGGAGCGAAAGCGUGGGUAGCAAACAGGAUUAGAUACCCGGGUAGUC